rnacentral:rRNA from 1 species
GACGAACGCUGGCGGCGUGCUUAACACAUGCAAGUCGAACGGAAAGGCCCCUUCGGGGGUACUCGAGUGGCGAACGGGUGAGUAACACGUGAGUAACCUGCCCUUGACUUCGGGAUAACUUCAGGAAACUGGGGCUAAUACCGGAUAGGAAUCCUUGCUGCAUGGUGGGGGUUGGAAAGCUUCGGCGGUUUUGGAUGGACUCGCGGCUUAUCAGCUUGUUGGUGGGGUAGUGGCUUACCAAGGCUUUGACGGGUAGCCGGCCUGGGAGGGCGACCGGCCACAUUGGGACUGGGGUACGGCCCAGACUCCUACGGGAGGCAGCAGUGGGGAAUAUUGCACGAUGGGCGGAAGCCUGAUGCAGCAACGCCGCGUGCGGGAUGACGGCCUUCGGGUUGUAAACCGCUUUCAGCAGGGGCGAAGCUUGUGGUGACGGUACCUGCAGAAGAAGCACCGGCUAACUACGUG